rnacentral:lncRNA from 1 species
GUCUUCUCUGCAGACACCAGCCUGGUGUCCUCCUUCAUCCCAGGCUGCCAGGCUAGGCAGGGGACAGCGGCUGCCCUGGUCCUCACAGCCCUGGCUACGGGGCUGGUGACAGCCAGAUCCUCAUGCUUCUGCGACCUGAGCGCUGCCUUCAGACACCUCUCUGCUGGCGUGUUCCUGGGUCCAUGAUGGAAGAAGGAAAAGUAUUUUUAAAAGACAAUCUGAAGCUCAUACUGUGACUGCAACAUAAAAUGUGUUCACCUGAGGAGACUGCUUUCAUCGCCAGUGUGUCACAGAUGGUGGAAACCUCAGAAGGCCACAGUCCAGAGUAGGGGCUUAAUGCAAGCUGCUGGAACUGAAUAAAGCUGACUUCUCUGAGCUGGAUGGCACCCUGGACAUCAACCAGCCCUUCACCUUCACGUCACACAGGAGGGACACUGGUCCAUAGAGAGGAUGCCUGCUCUGGUCACCAGCUGGAGAGUGGCAGACCUUGGGUACCUGACCUUUGGACUCUGCCACACAGAGCACUUCCUCAGUCCCUCCUGCUGCCCCUGGCAGGGUGGAGCUGGCAGGGCAGCUGAUCCAGGACCGUCCACUUCCAAGCCAGCAGGAGGAUGGAAAAGCAGAAUGGAGGGGAAACAACCUCCUUUGCAGGGCGUGACUCGGAAGUUGGACACAUCAUUUCCAGCCACAUUCCAUGGACCAGAAUUAGCCCUGUGACCAACUCUGGCUGCCAGAAAAUCUGGGAAAUACAGUCUCUGCUUGGGCGAUCAGGCAGGCAGUUAUAUCUUUGGGAACAUCUCUCACCCCCUGGGAACACCUGAGCAGAAACUGAAGGACAUUUAACAGAUUCUCCUUUGUGUCUAAUAAGAAUUGCCCCCAUCAGUCGGGGCUGUCCUAGGUGCUGGGUACAUAGGUCAUCUAUACACAACCCAGCAAUGGAGAGCACACCAUUCCCAGGCUGCAGAUGCAGAAACUGUGGCUCGGAGAGUUAAGCGUCUUGUUCAGAUUCAGUCAGCUGGUAGAUGGCAGGUCUGGGAUUGAGACCCAGGCCUGGCUGGUCCUGCCAGGACACAGUAUCACAGCUUUGACUGGGAGCUUCUUUUUGUUUACAUAUAUUUUUUAUGCUCAAUGUGCAUUCCUUUUGAAAUACACAGAAAAGGGAAAGAAGCCGGAGUCCUGCCUUGUGUAGGAGGGAUAAGUUAGAGGUGUGCACCGGGAUAAAUCUGCCUCCCGCGCUGGCCCUGGCCCUG